rnacentral:rRNA from 1 species
GAUGAACGCUGGCGGCGUGCUUAGCACAUGCAAGUCGAACGGAAAGGCCCAAGCUUGCUUGGGUACUCGAGUGGCGAACGGGUGAGUAACACGUGGGUGAUCUGCCCUGCACUUCGGGAUAAGCCUGGGAAACUGGGUCUAAUACCGGAUAGGACCACAUUUUGGAUGGUGUGGUGGAAAGUUUUUCGGUGUGGGAUGAGCUCGCGGCCUAUCAGCUUGUUGGUGGGGUAAUGGCCUACCAAGGCGUCGACGGGUAGCCGGCCUGAGAGGGUGUACGGCCACAUUGGGACUGAGAUACGGCCCAGACUCCUACGGGAGGCAGCAGUGGGGAAGAUUGCACAAUGGGCGCAAGCCUGAUGCAGCGACGCCGCGUGGGGGAUGACGGCCUUCGGGUUGUAAACUCCUUUCGCUAGGGACGAAGCGUUAUGUGACGGUACCUGGAGAAGAAGCACCGGCUAACUACGUG